CUGAAUAGGGCGCAUAAGUAACAGGUCGUAGACCCGAAACCAGGUGAUCUACCCAUGUCCAGGAUGAAGGUAAGGUAAUACUUACUGGAGGUCCGAACCCACGCACGUUGAAAAGUGCGGGGAUGAGGUGUGGGUAGCGGAGAAAUUCCAAUCGAACUUGGAGAUAGCUGGUUCUCUCCGAAAUAGCUUUAGGGCUAGCCUCGAGGUAAAGAGUCAUGGAGGUAGAGCACUGUUUGGACUAGGGGCCCUUCUCGGGUUACCGAAUUCAGAUAAACUCCGAAUGCCAUGUACUUAUACUCGGGAGUCAGACUGCGAGUGAUAAGAUCCGUAGUCGAAAGGGAAACAGCCCAGACCACCAGUUAAGGUCCCCAAAUAUAUGUUAAGUGGAAAAGGAUGUGGGGUUGCUUAGACAACCAGGAUGUUGGCUUAGAAGCAGCCACCAUUGAAAGAGUGCGU
rnacentral:rRNA from 1 species